rnacentral:rRNA from 1 species
UACGGAGGGAGCUAGCGUUGUUCGGAAUGACUGGGCGUAACGGGCGCGUAGGCGGUUUUAUAAGUCAGAUGUGAAAGCCUUGGGCUUAACCUGAGAAUAGCAUUUGAGACUGUAAGACUAGAGGACGAGAGAGGAAAGUGGAAUUACGAGUGUAGAGGUGAAAUUCGUAGAUAUUCGUAAGAACACCAGUGGCGAAGGCGACUUUCUGGCUCGUAUCUGACGCUAAGGCGCGAAAGCGUGGGGAGCAAACAGG